rnacentral:rRNA from 1 species
GAGGUAAUGGCUCACCAAGCCUUUANCCGGUGCGGNCCAUGAGAGCGGUGGCCCGGAGAUGGGUACUGAGACAAGGGCCCAGGCCCUACGGGGCGCAGCAGUCGCGAAACCUUCGCAAUACACGAAAGUGUGACGGGGCUAUCCCGAGUNCCAUCUGCUGAGGAUGGCUUUUGCCCAGUAUAGAUAGCUGGGAGAAUAAGGAGAGGGCAAGUCUGGUGUCAGCCGCCGCGGUAAUACCAGCUCUUCGAGUGGUGUGGAUGAUUAUUGGGCCUGAAGCAUCCGUAGCCGGCUGGAUAAGUCCUCUGUUAAAUCCAGCGAUUCAAUCGUUGGUCUGCGGGGGAUACUGUCCGGCUUGGGGGCGGGAGAGGCCGACGGUAUUCUCGGGGUAGGGGUGAAAUCCUAUAAUCCCGGGAAGACCACCAGUGGCGAAGGCUGUCGGCUAGAACGCGCUCGACGGUGAGGGAUGAAAGCUGGGGGAGCGAACCGGAUUAGAUACCCGGGUAGUCCCAGCUGUAAACGAUGCAAGCUAGGUGUUAGGGCGGCCACGUGCCGCUCUAGUGCCGCAGGGAAGC